UACGUAUGGAGCAAGCGUUAUCCGGAUUUACUGGGUGUAAAGGGAGCGUAGGCGGUGGUGCAAGUCUGAUGUGAAAACCCGGGGCUCAACCCCGGGACUGCAUUGGAAACUGUGUCACUGGAGUGUCGGAGGGGUAAGUGGAAUUCCUAGUGUAGCGGUGAAAUGCGUAGAUAUUAGGAGGAACACCAGUGGCGAAGGCGGCUUACUGGACGACAACUGACGCUGAGGCUCGAAAGCGUGGGGAGCAA
rnacentral:rRNA from 1 species